UUCUAGCCCCGAUUGCAGCGGCAUCCUUUUGCGGAGCGAAGUGAAGCAAAAGAUAUAGCGAAAAGCGGGACGGGUC
rnacentral:sRNA from 1 species